ensembl:lncRNA
UAGGGGAAACAGACACAUGAGUAGUAAUUGCCAUAUCUACUGCGUUAAGCGGCUUGAGAGAGUAAAGAAAGGAAGGACCAAGAUGGGGACUAAUUGAUUCUGUUUGAAGGUGGGAAGACUGUGCCAGGCAGAGGACAAAGCGAGGGAUGAGACUGGAAUGGCGACAUUCCAAAGCAAAGCAAGAGCCAGAGCAAAGCACAGACGAAGAGUUGGAGAUCUUGAGCAAUACACCUGGAGCGGAGGAUGGGAGAGCCAAGCAUGGCUGGGAUGAGCUGGAAAGAUGCUUUUGCUAUCUGGAAACUUAUGCCCACGUCUGUGACUGCGGGUCAGAAUUGCUUUCCUCACAUUCUGAUUGGGAGAGUUGUUAAACAUUGGAAUGUCCUUCUGAGCUGGGCUGUGGAAUGUCAUCGCUCCCAGGUGACUACAGAAGCCUCGACACCCAGCGUGGUCAGCCCCGCCCACUGGCCGCCAGGAAGGGCAGUGAGCCUGAAGGUUGAGCGCAGCACUUGUGGCCAAUGAUGCAAUCAACCCUGCUUUACGGGCUUACGUAAGAAGACCGCCCUUGAAGAAGCCUAUGGGUGGUGUUUGGUGAGCGGCUCCCUUGAGUAUGUGGUGGAGGGAGGUUGGCGUCCUGGACACAGGUGGAAGCUUCACACACUCUGCCCUGUACCUCUCUCUGUUCCAUUUGGCUGCCUGUACCUGGGCUGUGUCCUUGAUGAUAAACCACCAGUCCGGCUCCUCUGUCCAUGGGAUUCUCCAGGCAAGAAUACUGGAGUGGGUUGCCAUGCCCUCCUCCAGAGGAUCUUCCCAACCCAGGGAUUGAACCCAGGUCUCCUGCAUUGCAGGCAGAUUCUUUCCCAUAUGAGCUGCAAAGAAGUUCCUCCAACUUUUGAAGUAGAUGCCAAAACAUACCCGAGGACAGAGAGCCCAGGGUCUGCGGGACAGGAAACAAGCAUCUCUGGUUUAUUGAGCAGCGGGAGCAGGAAGAGCCGAGGGACAAGAGGGCAGCAGAAACCAAGAAUCAAACCUGGUCACGAGGCCACAUCAGCCCCGCUUGGCAGACAGGCCCAGUGGCUUUGUGAGUAAAUUUCCAAGCCAUCAAGAAGAAAUACGGUUGUCUCUCCAGCGUUCCAACAGGACCAUUCCAACAUCACUUGAACGCUCCUGUGUCCAAAGUCAUGAAAUCCUCCAGGACCAUGGAAGAGUUUCAAACUAUUGCUGCGGAAGACGAAGCGUUGUACAAGGGCUGCAUGACAUGUAUUCUUGGAGAUACAGCUUGCAACUCCGCAUGCGUAAAAGGGAAUCACAGCUGCUUAUCUGAAACGUCUUCAUCAUCCAUUUGGAAAUGAAGGAUUCCGCCUGCUCUACUUCCAUCACCACAGGAAGCCACACCCAGCUGACUUCUCAGUCCAGACUUGUUCUCAAGGUCACCUAUGUAAUUUUUUUUUUCCCCCUGAAGCCUCAGUGUUCUUCGUCUUCUCGGAGAUAAUAGCCCUAAGCCCUUCAGUCAUCAUUUCCUUGUCCUCAAUUUUCUUCCUGGCUUCCUGCAAUUUUAAUCCCAAGCCCCUGCAAUUCCUUGCCUUGGAGGUUUAAGUGGCCCCAUUUACAACCGAUUUUCAGCUAAUAUUUGAUGCAUUCUUUUCAAAUAAACCAAACUGUCCUCCUCUGCAGGCUUGGUGCUUUUGCACCUAAUAAAAUCAGAGGGUUGAUAGUGGGCUUUUAAACUGAUGUGGUUUCUCUUCUGUGACUUUUACAGAAAAAUAGAUCUUUCAAAGUAGGAAAUAGACCUGUUCCUGAUGGGUUAAUUUCAGAAUCUCGUGCUGUCAUUAAUCAAGGGAAAGAAAUCGCUCUUUCAUCUGCCCUUUGCUCCAGUUCUUACAAAGGAGAGGGAAUGAGAGUGGGGUAGAUGAGUAAAGAAAUCAUAGACUCUUUUUCUGGGGGCUCUUUCCUUCUAACCUUCUCUGGGUGCCUUAUCUCCGGCCCCUUCUGUAAGCUGAUCCAGCUCAUGUCGGCCUGACACAUGAACCAUGCAAAGCUGCUUUCUAAAGAGAUUUUAAUUCCUGCUUGACAGGCUAGGCUGAAGCCCAUGAGCGACAAUAGAUGGUGUUUUUUUUUUUUUUUUUUUAAACAAGACUGAAAACCAUGGCGCACCUGGUAUUUCAUUGAACAUCAGACAGACAUAUUAUUUUUUUCUCAGAAAAGGAAAAAAAAAAAAGUUAAAAAUAGCUAAACUUUAAGUAAUAAAAUACAGCUCAGUUUGCCAGGAGUCCUGUAUUAAGAGAGCCACCAUUUUUGGCCUGCCUGAAGACUGUUUUUGUCCCUAAUCUGUUUUAAAUCUUCUGAGGGUUUUAUCGUUUUUUCCGCCUUUCCAUAAAAUUAACUCAAUAUAUUUUUUUUAAUCCUAGUCUGAAAUUUCAUCCUUCAUGAGCCCCCUGCGUGGCUGAGUUUCAAAGUAUCACGUCAUGUAAGAUAAAUGACAUCUUUGGACCCAAGAUAUCUGGGUUCACUGAUCAUGUUUAAUGUCUUGGGUGGGGGUGGAGUUAGAAACUGGGAUCUUCCUUCAGGAUUGUAUGAGGCCAGAUCCAGAAUAAAUGAAAACGAUUUAGGAGUUGCCUACACAUCCUCUUGCAAACGCAAAUUGAGCGGGCCCCCUCCCUUUUUUUUUUUAUGACCGUAGCAAAUUUCAGCUAGCUUUUGUUCCUGGCCGGUGGUGUGCAUUAUGCGCAUAAAUAAGGUCUGCACAUAAUAAGGAUAACUCUGAUCACAGAGAUAGUGGUGGCGGUGCUUUGACGAGGGUGGUGACUGUCAUUUAUUAACUGGGCACCAGGCUUCGUGUUCGCUCUCCUUGAUUUUUUUUCUAUUUAAUUUGCAUACCAGCUCCAGGCGCUGGAUGUUGUCACUUCUGUUUUACCAUUGGGGAACAGGGAGACUAGGCUGGCACAAGUUGGGGUGACCUGCUUGGUGCAGUCCUUGGUGUGAGCUUGGUGCCAGAGCUGAUACCACAUGGCACAAAGUUGGUUUAAUCAGCCUUUUGCACAGAAACUCCUUAUUUACAUCAAGGGAAAAAGAGCCAUUUAGAACUGUAGGGCACAGCUCAAUUUACAUAAUACUUUCCUGAGCAUUAUCUUAAUCCUUCCAGCGUGCUUAGGAGAGAGGUGGUCUUACCAUCUCCAUUGUGUGUUUCUUCUUUGUUGUUCUUUGCUGGCUGAUACUAAUUUUGACGUCUUGGAGGAAUUGCAGACUGCUAAAGUUAAAGGACGCUUGUUGGUUAUGUGAGCUACGUUUAUAGUUCAGCAUUUGAGUAACUGUUUUAUUAAUGUUCCCAUGGAAGAGACUGUUCUUUUCUAGUUAUUUAAAGGAGGCCUGCUGCAUUCGUGGGUAUAAAUUUUGCUCAUGAGGGCUUGCAGCACUAUGUGUUUUUCAGUGGGUAUGUUUUAAAAUUGUAUGAGAA